UGGUAUUUCAGGGACAAGUUUUUUGUAAAUUUAAUAAUUAAAGUUAUUUUAAUUUGUGAAGAAACAAUUAUAUAAAUUAAGGACAAGAAGACCCUAAGAAUUUAAGAAUUCUUAUGUUACUUAAAUAUAAAAUAGGAAUUCUUAGUUGGGGCAACUAAAAAACAUUAUAAACUUUUUUUUCUUUAAAAUGACCCAUUAUUAAUGAUAAUAUGAUUAAAUACUCUAGGGAUAACAGCGUAAUAAA
rnacentral:rRNA from 1 species